GGUAGUAGCAAAUAUUCAAAUUAGAACUUUGAAGGCCGAAGAGGAGAAAGGUUCCAUGUGAACGGCACUUGAACAUGGGUAAGCUGAUCCUAAGGGACGGGGUAAUCCAGGCAGAUAGCGCGAUCACGAGCAUCCCCCGAAAGGGAAUCGGGUUAAGAUUUCCCGAGCCGGGAUGUGGCGGUUGACGGCGACGUUAGGAAGUCCGGAGACGCCGGCGGGGGCCUCGGGAAGAGUUAUCUUUUAUGCUUAACGGCCUGCCAACCCUGGAAACGGUUCAGCUGGAGGUAGGGUUCGGUGCGCCCCCGGCGGCCCAUGAAAAUCCGGAGGACCGAGUACCGUUCAUGCCCGGUCGUACUCAUAACCGCAUCAGGUCUCCACGGUGAACAGCCUCUGGCC
rnacentral:rRNA from 16 species